CAGUAGCCACGGUAAUACAGAGGGUGCGAGCGUUAAUCGGAUUUACUGGGCGUAAAGCGUGCGUAGGCGGCUUCUUAAGUCGGAUGUGAAAUCCCUGAGCUUAACUUAGGAAUUGCAUUCGAUACUGGGAAGCUAGAGUAUGGGAGAGGAUGGUAGAAUUCCAGGUGUAGCGGUGAAAUGCGUAGAGAUCUGGAGGAAUACCGAUGGCGAAGGCAGCCAUCUGGCCUAAUACUGACGCUGAGGUACGAAAGCAUGGGGAGCAAACAGGAUUAGAGACCCAUGUAGUCCCUGUCUCUUAUAA
rnacentral:rRNA from 1 species